ACUAACCUUCGGAGUGGCUUUCUUUCUAUACUGAGCAGGAGGCGACUAAAAUAGUUGAAUAAUUCUGUCUACUGCAAUCUAGUUAUAAAAAACUCACCUAAAAGGUAGUUAUUAACACCAAAAAAGCUUUUUAGAAGCGUUCUUAGUUUCAAUUAAAUAAACUCAGUGAAUUAAUUAAGCUUAACCAACUAACUUAGGCUUUUUCUUGAAGAUAACGUUUAAGUAUCAACUUCAUGGUUUUGAAUAUCUUCUAUCAAUGCUUAAAGGCGGUAGAAAACGUUAGCCCACUUGUACAGUGCAUUUUCAAAGAACAGUUCAUUACUACGCUUUACCAACAUACUGAUUUCACUGAGGUUAGUGUGCUUGUUUUGCAUAGUUUUAAUUUUGAGCUCAUUCUUAUGACUACUUCAACCCUCAUAAAAGCCCUUAAACUGAUUGUUAAACUUCGUAAUAAAGUACUUAGCAUCCUUGUACUUGCUCGCCUGUUUUUCAAAGUCUAAGUCCCUCUGUUCCUUGGUUUCGUAAA
rnacentral:sRNA from 1 species